rfam:Oryza glumipatula chromosome 7, whole genome shotgun sequence.
AAUAAGUGCAGUUUUGCACGAUUUACGUUCAACGUUUGACUGUUCGUCUUAUUUAAAAUUUUUUUAUGAUUAGUAUUUUUAUUGCUAUUAGAUGAUAAAACAUGAAUAAUACUUUAUGUGUGACUAAAUAUUUUCAAAUUUUUCAAUUUUUUAAAUAAGACGGACGGUCAAACGUUGGGCACAGAUAUUCACAGCUAUACUUAUU